AGGGGGUAGUUUAACAGAACAUUGGCCUGUCUAGCCUAAAGUGCAUUAAUUAACUAAUGCUCCCCU
rnacentral:tRNA from 1 species